UUUUUUUUUUUUUUUCCUCACAGCUGCACCCUUGGCAUAUGGAAGUUCCCAGUAUUAGCAAAGCUUUACAUAAAGUGGCACACUUUGAUCUACAUAUUAUCGAUGCAUAGAAUCAUUCACUCUUUCAUUGGUUAACGUUUUUGAGCAUUACUCCAAGGCACUGUGAUAGGUACUAGAGGUAUAAAGACCAAGAUAUGAUUCAUACCCUCUUAGUGUUCACAUUCUAAGAGGUGAAAAAUUUAUCUACUUGAAGUUAUGUGUAAUGUGCCAUGGGACUAUAUUUGUAGAAGGAACUCAUUCUACCUAGGGUAAUCAAGAAGGUUUCAUUUAGUAGGUAAAAAAGGUUAACAUUAAAACUGGAUCAAAAAGUAUAAAUGAUUUUUUAUUAUGCAGAGAACUUUUGCCCACCUCCCUCUCUUAAAAAAAAUUGUCAUUGAUUGCCAACAUGUUCAGAAUUAGUCCCAAGUUCAUGACCAUUAUUUAUGUAUUACUGCUUCUUAGCACUCAUUAUAAAGACAAAACUAUGCCACAAUUCGUAUUUUCUAAGAAGGGUCGUAUGAGCUAUUUCACGCAUUGGCUUUCCUAAAGGUCAUAUAAAAUAGAAGCAUUAAUUUACUUGAGUUAAUGUGGCAACAUCAUUCUAUAAAAUCAGUCUUAUUCAUGGGGCACCUACUUUGUGCUCAGGGUCUUUGCUAAAUAUUAAGGAUAAUAGACAGAUGAGACAGUACCCCUGUCCUCACUGAUCUAGCAGGAGAAACAAAUACGCAUGACUUAUAAGAAAUUAGCCUAUGCACUAUAAACUUUAUUCAACAAUCCAGUGAUUAAUUUCUUCACAUAAUACUUAAGAGCACAGAUUUUAGAGCAUAGGCUUGUUUUAUAAAUGCUCGAAGAGAAAAAGGAACUGCCUAGAGACAAGAAGUGAGAGCUGGAUAUUAGAAGGAAGGAGAAUAGGAACUACAGGUUAGUGCCCUCUUUUCUUAGUAAGAUCAUAAACGCUUCACAAAGGCAUUUUAUCUUAUUGAGUUAAAGGCACCAGCUCUGAAGUCAGACUUUGUGGAUUUAAAUUCCGUCUCUCACUAUACAACUUGGAGAUAUUACAUAACCUCUUUGUGCUUUAAUAGCCUCAUCUGUUAAACUGUGAUACUACUAUUUACUUCAUCAAGCUGUUGUGAAGAUUAAAAGUGUUGAUAUAUAUAUACUAGAUUUUAGAAUCAUGUCUGACACAAAAUAACUGUUAGUAAUUAUUAUUACUAAAUGUCGGCUUUUCCCCCUUCUAUUAUUAGCUAUAUGAUCUUAAGCAAAUCAGAUACAGUUGCCUGAUCUCAGUUUCCUCAUCUGGACCAAAAGAACAGAACUUUACAGGACCAUGAUGAAGAUUAAAUGAGAUAACAUAUUUAAGAUGAUUGGCACAUAGCAAAUGUGAGCUAAAUGUUAGUUCCCUUCCUCUCCUAAUUACCAAUUAUUUUGCUAUAUUGUAAGACAUUUUUUCUUAUUUCUCCCUUGAGUCAGGCUAUCAUCUGUCAUUUUCCUAGAAAUAUGCCUUUGUGUAGCUGUUUAAUUUGCUACAUAAAGUUUUGUGUGCAGAAGCUUUACAGCAAAGUAUAUUUUAUUAGCACAGAAGUGUCUUUAUGCUCAAUUUCUGGUUAUAGAUUGUUUUUGAAAAUUGAGUCCUAAAAAUGUUGAUCUCUAAAUUAAGACAAAGUCACUUUAAUGAUGAUUAAUUUUUUUGAAGAGUGAAACAAAUCAAGUAAAACACAAACAUUCUCAUCCUUGUAUUCUUAUCUCUAACAACAUAUUAGGAGAUAGAAUCUCGAUGAAUGGGUAUAAAAGCAGAGCAAGAAGAUUGGGGAU
rnacentral:lncRNA from 1 species